AUCUUGAUAGCUCAGCUGGUGGGGCACUGCACCGGCAUCACAGAGGUGAGGGCUCGAGUCCCUUUCAGGCUU
rnacentral:tRNA from 1 species